rnacentral:rRNA from 1 species
UACGUAGGGUGCAAGCGUUAUCCGGAAUUAUUGGGCGUAAAGAGCUCGUGAGGCGGUUUGUCGCGUCUGCUGUGAAAACUGGGGGCUCAACUCCCAGCCUGCAGUGGGUACGGGCAGACUAGAGUGCGGUAGGGGAGAUUGGAAUUCCUGGUGUAGCGGUGGAAUGCGCAGAUAUCAGGAGGAACACCGAUGGCGAAGGCAGAUCUCUGGGCCGUAACUGACGCUGAGGAGCGAAAGCAUGGGGAGCGAACGGG